rnacentral:rRNA from 1 species
UACGUAUGGGCCGAGCGUUGUCCGGAGUUACUGGGUGUAAAGGGCGUGUAGGCGGGGAUGCAAGUCAGAUGUGAAAUCCCGCGGCUCAACCGCGGAACUGCAUCUGAAACUGCGUCUCUUGAGUGUCGGAAGGGAAAGUGGAAUUCCUAGUGUAGCGGUGAAAUGCGUAGAUAUUAGGAGGAACACCGGUGGCGAAGGCGACUUUCUGGACGAUAACUGACGCUGAGACGCCAAAGCGUGGGGAGCAAACAGGAUUAGAUACCCCCGUAGUCCCU